rnacentral:lncRNA from 1 species
GGCCGUCCGGAUUUUAAAGCCUAAUCUCACACGGCCGUCCGGAUGGACGUAGGGGCGCAGUGAAGGAAGUUUAAUUACACAAGGAAACCCGCCCUAUUAUAUUUUUGCACCCUAUUUAAAGGCCACAAGCACACAAUUAGACGGAUCUUGGAUCUUUUACCUUUUAUCGUUAUUAUUAGUUUUUAGUUUUUUAUCUUUUCUACACGCAAUCAAGGAGCAAGAGAACGAAGACGAAGACUUGACGACUCUUCAUCCUAGUUUUCCUUUU